rnacentral:misc_RNA from 1 species
CCGAGUACGGGUCCCUGGGGCCCCGACCUCCCACCCGUGUCGAUCGUACCGUGUUGCUUCGGCGGGCAGCCGGGCGUGUGCCCGCCGGAGACCCCCUCCAAACACUACUGUGGUUCAAGGAAGACUGUCUGAGUGGGUAAGAAAUCGGUUAACA